GGGUCCACCCAUUGGUCAGGCUUAAUUGUCUGCACUGGUGAGAUGAGUCUCUACCUUCUGAGGAACUUUCAUGUCAUUAAUUUGGUGUGAUUGGAAAUCAGGACUGUUACUUUGAAAAAAUUAGAGUGUUUAAAGCAAGCUAACGCUUGAAUACAUCAGCAUGGAAUAAUGAAAUAGGACGUUCGAUCCUAUUUUGUUGGUUUCUAGGACCGAGGUA
rnacentral:rRNA from 1 species